rnacentral:rRNA from 1 species
CGUAGGCGGCGAGCGUUGUCCGGAAUUAUUGGGCGUAAAGGGCGCGUAGGCGGUUUUUUAAGUCAGGUGUGAAAGCCCCCGGCUCAACUGGGGAGUGUCAUCUGAUACUGGGAAACUCGAGUGCAGGAGAGGAAAGUGGAAUUCCAUGUGUAGCGGUGAAAUGCGUAGAUAUAUGGAGGAACACCAGUGGCGAAGGCGGCUUUCUGGACUGCAACUGACGCUGAGGCGCGAAAGCUGGGGGAGCGAACGGGAUUAGAUACCCCGGUAGUCCCAGCCGUAAACGAUGGAUGCUAGGUGUGGGGGGUAUCGACCCCUUCCGUGCCGCAGUUAACACAAUAAGCAUCCCGCCUGGGGAGUACGGCCGCAAGGUUG